GAAACAAGAAAGUGGACUCUCUUCUCCCGGAGACCUGAAUGCCAGCCACCAGCCAUGGAAAAAAGUGAAAGGCAAGCCACGGACUGAGAUUGUCAGCAACAUACACGACAGAGGACUUGCAUCCAGAAUGUUCAAAGAACUCUUACAAGUUAAUAAGAAAAAGACAGACAAAAUAGGUACCAGAGUUUGCAGCCUACUGAAGGAAAACAGCAUCAAGAUAUCCACACCGCACCAGGAAGACUCCACAAAUGCUUGCUCAUCACGGCUGGAGAGUAUAAACACCUUGUGCAAUGUUUCUGCAGUGACAGUGAAUGGACCACAGCGGCUUGCAGUACUGUAACAUUUGCAUAAUAAUACUGUCAUCAUGGAUGACUCUCAUCAACAUACACUGACCAGUCCGUGACAGACAAGGCAGCAGCCGGAGCCUGCUUUCCGAGCACCACUCAAGAGUGUCACACUACUUGCUGAACCACAACUGUCACUGUAGCCUGAGGAGCUUGGAGGGAACAGAAGAUAAAGACUGGUAUGAAUUUAGCAUUGGAGGACAUCAAUUUGACAUGUCACUACAGCCGGCAAAGGUCAAUCAGUGUUUACGGAAAUGGGGCUGGAAGACACCAUGGUCAAAGCCUGUCUGGACUCGAAAGGAUCUAAGGGGGCAGAGGACCCAGCUCCCCUCGGCCCCCGGAGAGUGUUGAUUCAGCUGGAGUUCCCAUCCCAGGACCCCUCUACAGAGAUGCCUGUACUUGCUGAUUACCUGCCAUGAUGCCCAACCCUUCAGAAUACAAGGAAGAAAGUGGCCUUCAGCGGUGGCUGGGGCAGGACCCAGUGGGCCACAUAAUAAGGCGUCUAAGGCCACAGGAUGAAGCCUUCCUGACUCUGUUCCCCGGGGGACUCCCGUUUUCUAAGGUUGCGAGCUUGUUUUAUUCAUUCUCAUUUCCCUAGCCUGCAGUAGGCCACAGAUGACAGUUAAUAAACGUUUGCUGUGUGGGCAAGUGUGCAGGGCGUGUGCUGUAGGGCGUAAGGCCUCGUCGGGUGCUGGAGAGACAGCCCAGCAGGCUCCCUGCUUCUCUGGUCCAUCUCCAGAGAGGGCUCUUCCUCGGGGGCCGCCCAGGGCUGUUGCCCACGGGCAGCCCAUCGGGUGUUAAGUAUGACUUACGUUUUCUUCUCCAAGCUAAGUAUCACCAGUUCCCGUGAUUAUCUCAUAGCCCCCAGCACUCUGGUUAUCCAGUCUGGAGAGGCAACAAAAGCACCCCGAUGUGUUCCCAAUAGGCAGAACCGUGGAUGUAGAUGGAAAAUUUAGGGUUGUGUGCUUCGGCAGGCAGUGUAUUCGAGCUGCUGGCGUGGCCUCCAACACCGUAAGAAGGCUCCUGACCAUCUUUCUUUCUUUGGUGUUCUCACCGCCUUUACACAGAUACUUUUGUAAAUAUAUAUUUUGUUUUAUUGGUUUUAGAGAAAGAAGAAGGGAAAAGGAGGGAGAGA